GUACAAAUUUAGUUUAAGGAAUCAAAUCAUAAAGAAAUGGGUUCGUAAUUUUGUUAUUUUUGAUAUUUUCAUACUAAUUUUAACGCACUUUUUCAGGAUCUUUUUUUUUUUAGCAUCUUCUAUAAGUCUUCAGACCUCAUCAUUAAUAUGAUUGGUACUUAUAUAUAUCGCACAAUAUAGACACCUCUAUGAUUGUUGUAUUUGUGCGACUUUUAAAGUUUUAAAACAAAAUUCUCGAGGGAUAUAAUUAAACUAAAUUUUUUUUUUAGCAUCUGCUGUAAAUUUUCAGACCUCAUCAUUAAUAUGAUUGGUAUUUAUAUAUAUCGCACAAUAUAGACACCUCUAUGAUUGUUGUAUUUGUGCGACUUUUAAGUUUUUAAAACAAAAUUCUCGAGGGAUAUAUAAUAAACUAAAUUUUUUUUUUAGCAUCUGCUGCAAAUUUUCAGACCUCAUCAUUAAUAUGAUUGGUAUUUAUUUAUAUCGCACAAUAUAGACACCUCUAUGAUUGUUGUAUUUGUGCGAAUUUUAAGUUUUUCAAAAUUUAAAAAGAAUGCUCGU